UGUGAUUUGUAGAAUGUUCCAUAGCUGUUGUUGAGAUAGUAGGAACUGUUUUCUCCAACGUUGUGAGACGGCGACGACGGUUAAAGGUGGUCCUCCGAUGGGUAUGACGAGAGUUAAUAUUUGAUUCUCUUCCGGUUUGGCGAAAAGCUCCAUCUUCUUUAGUAUCAGGCGAAAUUAAGCGUUUCGUCUUAAUGUUCAAUCCUGCUGAUCUUGCAGUUUUAUCUGUGAAGUGGGGUCCUCUAUGUUUGAUUUUGUUGUAGUAAUGUCCAAGAAAAGGUGUUACUUUGUGAUGAUGUCCAGAUAAGACUACUGGUUCCUUUUCACUUAUAUUCAAGUCAGAUUUGGCAAUAGGUCCUUCUUUCGGAAUAGGUUUGUGAAUGCUAUUGAUUUCCUCUCCAUGAACUUUAGGUUCUGUUGAUUUCGGAUUGAAACUUUCUUUAUCUAUAGAUUUUUCUAUAGAAGUCACAGAUUUUGCUUUUAGUGACGCGAGUGAUGUCCCUUUAGAU
rnacentral:lncRNA from 1 species